rnacentral:rRNA from 1 species
ACAGGAUUAGAUACCCUGGUAGUCCACGCCGUAAACGAUGAGUGCUAAGUGUUAGAGGGUUUCCGCCCUUUAGUGCUGAAGUUAACGCAUUAAGCACUCCGCCUGGGGAGUACGGCCGCAAGGCUGAAACUCAAAGGAAUUGACGGGGGCCCGCACAAGCGGUGGAGCAUGUGGUUUAAUUCGAAGCAACGCGAAGAACCUUACCAGGUCUUGACAUCCUCUGACAACCCUAGAGAUAGGGCUUCUCCUUCGGGAGCAGAGUGACAGGUGGUGCAUGGUUGUCGUCAGCUCGUGUCGUGAGAUGUUGGGUUAAGUCCCGCAACGAGCGCAACCCUUGAUCUUAGUUGCCAUCAUUAAGUUGGGCACUCUAAGGUGACUGCCGGUGACAAACCGGAGGAAGGUGGGGAUGACGUCAAAUCAUCAUGCCCCUUAUGACCUGGGCUACACACGUGCUACAAUGGACGGUACAAAGAGCUGCAAGACCGCGAGGUGGAGCUAAUCUCAUAAAACCGUUCUCAGUUCGGAUUGUA